rnacentral:snoRNA from 1 species
AUCUUCUUGUUUAAGCUCUGUGCUAAAAUCACAGAAACUAAUAUUAUGUCUUAGCAUUUGUAAUAAAGCUAGCAGAGAAAACACAAGGGAAAAAAACUGAACAACUAUACCAGAUAGGAGAAAAAUUGAGUUGAACCUCUUUCUUAAGUCCAGAGUACGUUGUUCUAAGAUUUGGUACAAUAAUA